rnacentral:rRNA from 1 species
GACGAACGCUGGCGGCGUGCUUAACACAUGCAAGUCGAACGGAAAGGCUCCAGCUUGCUGGAGUGCUCGAGUGGCGAACGGGUGAGUAACACGUGGGCAAUCUGCCCUGCACUCUGGGAUAAGCCUGGGAAACUGGGUCUAAUACCGGAUAGGACCUUUCUCCUCAUGGGGUUUGGUGGAAAGUUUUUCGGUGCAGGAUGAGCCCGCGGCCUAUCAGCUUGUUGGUGGGGUAAUGGCCUACCAAGGCGACGACGGGUAGCCGGCCUGAGAGGGUGAUCGGCCACAUUGGGGCUGAGAUACGGCCCAGACUCCUACGGGAGGCAGCAGUGGGGAAUAUUGCACAAUGGGCGAAAGCCUGAUGCAGCGACGCCGCGUGAGGGAUGACGGCCUUCGGGUUGUAAACCUCUUUCAGUAGGGACGAAGCGCAAGUGACGGUACCUGCAGAAGAAGCACCGGCUAACUACGUG